GCCGCUGUGGUGGAAUGGCAUACACAAGGGUCUUAAACACCCUCGGAGUAAAAUCCUUGCGAGUUCAAAUCUCGUUAGCGGCACCA
rnacentral:tRNA from 1 species